rfam:Triticum urartu cultivar G1812 contig536009, whole genome shotgun sequence.
AAUCUACUCUCUCCAUUCUGAAUUACUUGUCGCAAGUAUGGAUGUAUCUAGAUGUAUUUUAGUUCUAGAUACAUCCAUUUCUACGACGAGUAAUUUGGAACGGAGAGAGUAGUAU